rnacentral:rRNA from 1 species
AACGAACGCUGGCGGCGCGCCUAAUACAUGCAAGUCGAGCGAGAAGACGUAGCAAUACGUUUGUAAAGCGGCGAACGGGUGAGGAAUACAUGGGUAACCUACCCUCGAGUGGGGAAUAACUAGCCGAAAGGUUAGCUAAUACCGCGUACGCUCCUUGGACUUCGGUUCAGGGAGGAAAGCGAUACCGUGGGUAUCGCGCUCUUGGAUGGGCUCAUGUCCUAUCAGCUUGUUGGUGAGGAACGGCUCACCAAGGCUUCGACGGGUAGCUGGUCUGAGAGGACGAUCAGCCACACUGGCACUGCGACACGGGCCAGACUCCUACGGGAGGCAGCAGUAAGGAAUAUUGCGCAAUGGGCGAAAGCCUGACGCAGCGACGCCGCGUGGGGGAGUGAAGGU